rnacentral:rRNA from 1 species
UACGGGGGGGGCAAGCGUUGUUCGGAAUUACUGGGCGUAAAGGGCUCGUAGGCGGCCAACUAAGUCAGACGUGAAAUCCCUCGGCUUAACCGGGGAACUGCGUCUGAUACUGGAUGGCUUGAGUUUGGGAGAGGGAUGCGGAAUUCCAGGUGUAGCGGUGAAAUGCGUAGAUAUCGGGAGGAACACCAGUGGCGAAGGCGGUUGCCUGGAGCUUUGCUGACGCUGAUGCGCGAAAGCGUGGGGAGCGAUCCGG